GAUGAACGCUGGCGGCGUGCCUAAUACAUGCAAGUCGAACGGACGACUUCGGUCGUUAGUGGCGAACGGGUGAGUAACGCGUUGGUGACCUGCCCCGGAGUGUGGGAUAACAGGCCGAAAGGCUUGCUAACACCGCAUGAUGUAGUCGUGUUUAGAAAGCGACUAAGAAAAGGAGAAAUCCUGCUCUGGGAGGGGCCUGCGACCCAUCAGCUAGUUGGUAAGGUAACGGCCUACCAAGGCGAUGACGGGUAGGGGACCUGAGAGGGUGGCCCCCCACAAUGGAACUGAAACACGGUCCAUACACCUACGGGUGGCAGCAGUAGGGGAUAUUGCUUAAUGGGCGAAAGCCUGAAGCAGCAACGCCGCGUGUGCGAUGAAGGCCUUCGGGUUGUAAAGCACUUUUAGCAGGGAAGAGGAAGGACGGUACCUGCUGAAUAAGUCUCGGCUAACUACGUGCCAGCAGCCGCGGUAAAACGUAGGAGGCGAGCGUUAUCCGGAUU
rnacentral:rRNA from 1 species